AUUGAACGCUGGCGGCAUGCCUUACACAUGCAAGUCGAACGGUAACAGGUCUUCGGAUGCUGACGAGUGGCGAACGGGUGAGUAAUACAUCGGAACGUGCCUAGUAGUGGGGGAUAACUACUCGAAAGAGUGGCUAAUACCGCAUGAGAUCUACGGAUGAAAGCAGGGGAUCGCAAGACCUGUGCUACUAGAGCGGCCGAUGGCAGAUUAGGUAGUUGGUGGGAUAAAAGCUUACCAAGCCGACGAUCUGUAGCUGGUCUGAGGGGACGAUCAGCCACACUGGGACUGAGACACGGCCCAGACUCCUACGGGAGGCAGCAGUGGGGAAUUUUGGACAAUGGGCGAAAGCCUGAUCCAGCAAUGCCGCGUGCAGGAUGAAGGCCUUCGGGUUGUAAACUGCUUUUGUACGGAACGAAAAGCCCCGGGUUAAUACCCUGGGGUCAUGACGGUACCGUAAGAAUAAGCACCGGCUAACUACGUGCCAGCAGCCGCAGUAA
rnacentral:rRNA from 1 species